ACAACUUUUUCAAUCCUGAUCCUAAAACUAUCCAUACAUGGAUUUGUUUUGUUUUGUUUUGUCUUUUGGCUAGAAUGAAGAAUGCUUCCAGGACAACAUAAGCAUAUGUUGAAGAUGGAGAAGUCACACAAUGCAAGGAGCCUUAGUCCCUAAAUCACUAUUCUCUGGAGGGGAGCAACCUCACCAGAAUACCAUUUUGGAUUAUGAGGAAGCUAACCCAGCAAAACAGGUGUCCCAGGUUCCUCAACUAUUUAGAUGCUGGGUACACUUGGCCAAUGAGAGGCCUGGUGGAAGACUACAGAAUGAAGAGAAGGCAGCAACCAUGUUAUUUCACCCCCUUCCUCCUUGAAUCUGAUAGGGGCAGAGUAACAAGCGGAAGCCAGGUCCCCUCCCUGGCUUGAGCUUUUACUGCGUAGACCCUUUCUACAGUCUCGGUUCCUACUAUUCUAUCCCCUUAAGUCAUCCCAAACUUUGAUAAUGCCAAGUUUUCCAUUUGGAUUGCCUCACCAUAUUCUGUUUGGACUUUAACAUUUGAAUUUGUAAAUAGCUCAACAUGUUAUUACCUCUUUAUUGAGCUACUUUGCAUGAGUUUUGUUUAUCUGACUAAAGUCUUACUCCUAAUACUAUUGUUACAUUCUGAAGACUUGAUUUAGCAAAUUUAUAAAUUUGUUCUGUUUUAGUAGCAUAUUUGUUAGAAAUAGUAACUUAU
ensembl:lncRNA